rnacentral:rRNA from 1 species
CCUACGGGUGGCAGCAGUCGAGAAUCAUUCACAAUGGGGGAAACCCUGAUGGUGCGACGCCGCGUGGGGGAAUGAAGGUCUUCGGAUUGUAAACCCCUGUCAUGUGGGAGCAAAUUAAAAAGAUAGUACCCCAAGAGGAAGAGACGGCUAACUCUGUGCCAGCAGCCGCGGUAAUACAGAGGUCUCAAGCGUUGUUCGGAAUCACUGGGCGUAAAGCGUGCGUAGGCUGUUUCGUAAGUCGUGUGUGAAAGGCGCGGGCUCAACCCGCGGACGGCACAUGAUACUGCGAGACUAGAGUAAUGGAGGGGGAACCGGGAUGCUCGGUGUAGCAGUGAAAUGCGUAGAUAUCGAGAGGAACACUCGUGGCGAAGGCGGGUUCCUGGACAUUAACUGACGCUGAGGCACGAAGGCCAGGGGAGCGAAAGGGAUUAGAUACCCUAGUAGUC